rnacentral:rRNA from 1 species
AAAAACAUCGCCUCUUGCAAAAUUAACGAAUAAGAGGUCCUGCCUGCCCUGUGACCAUGAGUUCAACGGCCGCGGUAUUUUGACCGUGCAAAGGUAGCGCAAUCACUUGUCUUUUAAAUAAAGACCCGUAUGAAUGGCAAGACGAGGGCUUAGCUGUCUCCUUUUUCAGGUCAAUGAAAUUGAUCUUUCCGUGCAGAAGCGGGAAUGUCAACAUAAGACGAGAAGACCCUAUGGAGCUUUAGACACCAAGACAGAUCACGUCAAAGCCCCCUAAUUAAGGAUUAAACUAACUGAGCCCUGUCCUAAUGUCUUUGGUUGGGGCGACCACGGGGAACUACAAAACCCCCGCGUGGAAUGAAAGCACCACCCUGCUUUUACAACUAAGAGCCUCCGCUCUAAUAAACAGAAUAUCUGACCAACAAGAUCCGGCAACGCCGAUCAACGAACCCAGUUACCCUAGGGAUAACAGCGCAAUCCUCUUUUAGAGUCCAUAUCGACAAGAGGGUUUACGACCUCGAUGUUGGAUCAGGACAUCCUAAUGGUGCAGCCGCUAUUAAGGGUUCGUUUGUUCAACGAUUAAAGUCCUACGUGAUCUGAUUCCAGACCGG